rnacentral:miRNA from 1 species
CCCCUGAAACUUUCCCAGAAUGUGCCCCCUUGCCCCCUGAGAGUUUCAGGAGGCAAGGGGGCAUAUUCUGGGAAAGUUUCAGGG